rnacentral:rRNA from 1 species
UGAGGAAUAUUAGUCAAUGGGCGCAAGCCUGAACCAGCCAUCCCGCGUGAAGGAUGAAGGCCCUAUGGGUCGUAAACUUCUUUUAUACACCAAGAAAAAGCAGGACGUGUCCUGCCCCGACGGUAGUGUAUGAAUAAGCGUCGGCUAACUCCGUGCCAGCAGCCGCGGUAAUACGGAGGAUCCGAGCGUUAUCCGGAUUCAUUGGGUUUAAAGGGUGCGUAGGCGGCUCUUUAAGUCAGUGGCGAAAUCUUGCCGCUUAACGAUAAAAUUGCCAUUGAUACUGAUAAGCUUAAGUACAAUUGAGGUAAGCGGAAUGAAUAGUGUAGCGGUGAGAUGCUUAGAUAGUACACAGAACACCGAUUGCGAAGGCAGCUUGCUAAACGGUCACUGACGCUGAUGCACGAAAGCGUGGGGAGCGAGCA